rnacentral:rRNA from 1 species
UACAGAGGGGGCCAGCGUUAUUCGGAAUUAUUGGGCGUAAAGAGCUCGUAGGCGGUUUGUCGCGUCGAAUGUGAAAUCCCGGGGCUCAACCCUGGAACUGCAUUCGAUACUGCCUUGCUCGAGGACUCGAGAGGAGAUUGGAAUUCACGGUGUAGCAGUGAAAUGCGUAGAUAUCGUGAGGAAGACCAGUGGCGAAGGCGGAUCUCUGGAGAGUUCCUGACGCUGAGGCACGAAGGCCAGGGGAGCAAACGGG